rnacentral:rRNA from 1 species
AGCUCCAAUAGCGUAUAUUUAAGUUGUUGCAGUUAAAAAGCUCGUAGUUGGAUUUCGGGUAGCCUUCAGCGGUCUCGCUUUGCGUUUGUACUGCUGCAGCCUGCCUUCUUGUCGGGGACGGGUUCACGGGCUUUAUUGCUUGGGACCCGGAGUCGGCGAUGUUACUUUGAGUAAAUUAGAGUGUUCAAAGCGGGCCUACGCUCUGAAUAUAAUAGCAUGGGAUAACACGACAGGACUCUGGCCUAUCGUGUUGGUCUGUAGGACCAGAGUAAUGAUUAAGAGGGACAGUCGGGGGCAUUCGUAUUCUGUUGUCAGAGGUGAAAUUCUUGGAUUUACGGAAGACGAACAUCUGCGAAAGCAUUUGCCAAGGAUGUUUUCAUUGAUCAAGAACGAAAGUACG